rnacentral:rRNA from 1 species
UGGUCCUACGGGGGGCAGCAGUGAGGAAUAUUGGUCAAUGGGCGAGAGCCUGAACCAGCCAAGUCGCGUGAGGGAAGACGGUCCUAUGGAUUGUAAACCUCUUUUGUCGGGGAGCAAGAAGACUACGUGUAGUCCCAAGCGAGAGCACCCGAAGAAAAAGCAUCGGCUAACUCCGUGCCAGCAGCCGCGGUAAUACGGAGGAUGCGAGCGUUAUCCGGAUUUAUUGGGUUUAAAGGGUGCGUAGGCUGAGUGUCAAGUCAGCGGUAAAAAUUCCGGGCUUAACCCGGUCGUGCCGUUGAAACUGG